UUUGCACAAGACAACCAGAGGGAAACUGUCUCUGUGACUUUAAAAUUCUGCUUUUAUAGUAUUUUCUUUAAUUCUUUUUAAAGUGCCUGUCUUAAUUGUAAAUUUCAAAGAUUAAAAUAAGACUAGAAUCAUCAGAUAAUAUGUUCUUGGGCUCUGCAAACAUUAGCUCGAUUAUUUUUUUUUCCAGCUGAGGCUUGACGAUUUUGUUAAUGGACAACUGGCCUUGUUCAUCUUUUCCAGCUACUUUGACGUGUCCUUCAUAACAAGACAGAAUUCUGAAGAUCACACCAAACUCGAAUGAAUAAUCCAUCUGGUUAUCAGUGACCCCACCAAAGUCUCUGAGAUUUAAAAGUUAAGAAGUUCUGUCUUCCGCUGCCCUCAUUUGGGGGUUGUGUCUUUUAUUUAGAAGAUGGAGUGAGAUAGUAGUUGGCCCAGGUCAGUAACCUUUUCUCUUUGUCCUGAGAUGAAUGCCAAAAGCUAUUACCAGGAAAAGAGGAAAAACAAGUUUCUAUUUGGCUUUUCACUGCUCCAGCAGUAAACAGCAGUGCAGGCUCAGGGGCCCAGCGAGUGAACAGGGUUUAAUUUAAUCUCCUCUGGGUUGUCCUGGUAAACAUCCUUUCAGCUGUCCCCAGCUAAGCCAUUUUCUCCUUUGCUACGCUGAUGCUUGGUUUUCAGCCAAGUGCCUGGUGCUGGGUUCUCAGCGGAUCUAACUCCUGCCUCUGACCUCUCCUGCCUCCAAACUCCCAGCUCACUCAUGCUUGAGAUAUCUGUACCCCGGAUGGUCCUUGACUUGGCAUGUAGUCUAAUUUGAUGGAACACAGAGACCUGCCACAGUGGAAAGAUCGUGGCUUCAGGGAGGCAGAACAAUCGAAGUUGGAGUCCCAGUCCCUUAGAGUAUGCAAUUGGGCUUUGGUUAGAUACCUGAUUUCAUCUCCAAGAGUCCUCAUUUCUUCUUCCAGUGAAUUGGUGCAAAUGUUAAUCUGAUGGCUGUUUCUGCCUUGGGGAAAGUACCACAUGCCACAUACCUGAGAACACAAGCCUGAGCUUCUUCUAUUCCUCUGCCAGCUGGUGUUGCACAUUGAAGAGUCAAAGCAUUUGCAAACACCACUGAUGAGCUAAACUGAGUCCCAAAGGUGCUAACUAGGAUGGCAAGGAGCCCAGGGCCUGGGUGAAACAGUCUGGAGAAGGGAACAUGUUAGUGUCAAGAUGAUCAGAAAGCCCAGACAAUGGACUAAAACGACUUCAGGUUUGGGAUGAUCUCAAGUCUAGAAGGAGCCAGCUCAUAGUGGUACUGGUUAUAGCAUCAGUAUUUGUCAGAUUCCUUCUGUGUGCCUGACUCUGCUUCUCAGCCAGGACAGAUGACACCCUUCUCUAACAUAUAACCCAGUUGGAAAGACAGCCAGUGGGGGGUAUUAGAAUGAGCAGAAGUGUCACCUAACACCUGAGAAGGGUCCCUUUGGCUGUCUCAUUGAGACAAUCAGAAAAGGAAGAGAAGGAAAAAGAAGAGGAAGAGUGUGUGAGUCUGUCCAUCCCUACGCACUCUGGAGCAGUUCGGUCUGGAAUAGGGAAAUCACUCCUUUACUCUGAAUGUGAAGGCCCAGCUCCAAACAUGAGCUGGAGGUGACAGGAGGCAGAGGUAGUGGUGGAGAUACAUGACAGAAGCCUCAGAAGCCAGAUGGAAAAUACAAACCAACUUCCAGGGCUACAGUGAGAGACCAACGUUACCAGCAGACACAAAGAGAGGAUUGGUUCCUUCAACUGACUCCAGUCGCAUUUUUCCAUACUAGCUUGGUGGCAAAUGAGGACAGACGUGAUGAAAGCAAUGUGGAUGUGCUCAAGUCCCGUGAGCACAGCUUAUGAAGUCAGCAGCAUCGAGCAACAGCAGAUGGAAGAUCCCGCGUGUACUGCAGAGUUUCAGCUCUUAAAUACUAUCCACUACCAGGUCCAUGGACCACAAAGACAGGGUUAAGGGAACAAAGAAGGCACCAAAACAAUGAAUCUUCCUGGCCAUUUUGGGUUCUAGAUUCUACCAGUGUUCUAGUGAGGAGGAAUGUAAGAACCCUUUCAGGAAUUUACCAGGGAUCCCUAUCAACUUACUUGGAUCAAUAGACCCUCAAGGGCAAGAUUCGUUUCAUUAAGGUAUUCCAGAGUGUAGUUUGAUACAUGCUUCAAGUGACACAUUCAGAGAUCUGGCCUUUGUUUGAUUUUAGUUGGGAAGAGGGGUUCAAUAGGAAAUAGGGAUGGGUAACUGGGGAGUAAGGAGAAGAGUUAUUAAUGCCAUGGAUAAACAAACCAAAAGAAAAUAGCAUGGUUAGGACUCAAAACAGAGUUUAGAUCCCCGUACCAGAUUGAGACAGAAUGGUGGAGUCUCUGAAGAGAGGCAUCAGAGGUCCCCUGGCAGAGGUAGAGAACUGUUCUUAUACUCACUGAGGAUGAAGGAAGUCUCAUAGGAUAGCCUGAAGUCAGGUGCUCUGUUUCACACACAGGAGGCUGGGAAGGGCUUAGGGAACAUCAUGUAUGGCUUUAAAGGAAACUCAAUUAUCAUGUGCGUGAAGACUUGGGGAAGUCUGUAAAAUGGUGACUCACAGAUAAUGUCAUAGUAGGGUGACUGUCUCUAUACCUGUGAAAGGGGGCUGCUAAGGAAAUGGUGUCCUGAGCAGACAGUACGUUCUAGUUCUCUCACCCUGGUCUGUCACUGGGUAGAAAGAGACUCACCAACCACUCAUCCAUUUCAUUAGACAUGGCCUUCUCUGUAGAUGUGCUAGUGGUAAAAUUAAAGCAAAAUCAUCCUGGUAGGCACACCAUGUUCUAAAGAGACAUUGUGUCCCAUGGUCAUCAAGCUAUUGAAAUGAGCCCCAAAGAAUUAAAAUUUCCCUGGGCAUCUCAUACUCAGAAAGGGAAAGGUUAAAGCCUGGUGUCAUCCAGAGAAGUUUGUCUUCCUGUGAUGCCUUAUCAGACCACCUUGAAGAACAAAUUAAGAGCCUAAACAAUGACAAAGCCUGCUCUUACCUUGGCUAGGAUUUCUUAGUUAAUAUUUACCUCUUGCCUGCCAUUUAAACCUUAACCUCACAUCAAUUUCACAGCCACUGGAUGUGCUGGCUAGUUUUAUGUCAACUUUCAGUCAUCUGAAAGGAGAGAAAUUCAAGUGAGAAAAUGUUUCUACAAGAUCCAGCUGUAGACCAUUUUCUUAACUGGUGAUUGAUGGGAGAGGAUAGUAGCAUUCCUGGACUGGUGGUUGGGAGCUCAGAAAGCAGGCUGAGCAAACCACAUUAGGCAAGCCAGUAAGCAGUUCUCCUCCAUGGCUUCUGCAUCAGCUUCUACCUCCAGGUUCCUGCUCUGUUUGAGCCCCUGUCCUGACUUCCAUCAAUAAUUAACAAUGAUUUGGAAGCACAAGCCAAAUAAGCCCUUUUCCCUCAAGUGUCUCUUGGUGAAGUUCUCUCAUUAAACACUACAAUAUAAAUCUUUUUUCCAGCUCGGUACCUGCUAUCACAUCUGGUCCAAGUUCUUAUCUCCAGGAAAGAGACUCUUGGCAAGAGACCUGGAAUGAAGACCAGUGUUCCAGCUAGAGUGCACCUUCUCUACAAACAGGAAAAAAAAAAAAGACUUGAAAAAAGUGAUCAAAGUCUUUUCUGCAUAGCAAAUGAAUCUUGUGGCAUUUAGGCCUUCUACUCAUUCAUUUCUCUUUUAGACUAGAGAGCCUGGACCAGCACCCCUAUUUCAUAAGACUGAUGUUACAAUUACAGAGAGAAGCAAUAUCACCAAGAUGCCAAAUUACACUCUAUAAACAACAGAUACUGUAAGAGAGAUCUAGACUCAACAGGGAGUUCCCUUAUAUGGAAUUCAGCAAUUCCCAGGGCUUCUUUGGGGAUAUGUGGGUCAGCUGUCCUCAAAACUGGAAAUGAAUGGUGUGGACCCUGACUCCAGUGUCAGGCAUGAUAGCUGGGUUUUGCUGUGAAUACUGGGUUCCUGCAUAUAAACUGAGGCAAAAGAGUGUGGUUUAAAUGCUAUAGAGGAGAAGGGGUAAAAUCCCUGGACUGGACCAAUCCUCCCAUUGUAUCCCUGAGAACUAAGAGGAGAAGAGGCAGUGGUUAGUGGGAUCCAGUGGGUCUACCUGUAGGCUUUGACAAAAGACUUCCUGGCCUGUUAUCAAAGAAAGGUUCUCUCAUUUACUUCUUCAGUCAAUCAAGGUACCUCUCUCUUCCCCCUUAGAGGAGUCAGACUCCUGCCAAUAAAAGGCAAAAAAACCAAAGUAGACAAACAAGUACUAUUGCUCCUAGCUGUCUACACACCUGCUAGACUCUGGAGCAGUGGUUCUCAACCUUCCUAAUGCUAUGACCCGAUAAUACAGCUCUUCAUGUGAUGGUCAUCUCCAACCUUAAACUUCUUUAAUUGCUACUUCAUAGCUGUAAUUUUGCUUCUGUUAUGAAUUGUAAUGUAAACAUCUGAUCUAUAGUGUAUCUGAUGUUAUGAGCACUGUGAAAGGGUCACUCAACCCCAGUGGGGUCUCGACACACAGAUUGAGAACCACUGCUCUAGAGGUUCACCUUCUAGACCAGGGAGAAAAGUCCAUCCUUCUCCUGUCUCCGAGGAUCUCUGCUGAGUCUUGGUCCCCCACCCCUCUAGCUCUGGCCUUCCUUCCAGAAUAGUGUUGUUCUCCAUCGCUAUUCUGCUCUCUUGACAUAGUUGAACCACAGAGGUUCCCCAAAUGCUCUGAUCCCAAAUAGUCCUUUCCCCAAGGGGACACUGUGUUGGCUCGGGGUCGUAGGUCUGAUUCUUCCACCUGUUCAAAGCAUCUUUACAAGAUGCACACAGAGAAAUGGAUUGUGAAGUACCCGAAGUGUUGGAGAAUUUUGCGAAAUGUGUGUGCUCUCAGGCAAAGUACUCCAGUUUUCUGGGUCUCAGCUUUCCCUUUUUAGAACCAGCAGCUGGAGGAGUUAUUUCUAAGGUCCUCAGCGGCUGGCAAAUGUGGCCCUGCCUUCUUCUUGUCUAUUCUCUGAAGGCAUUCUUUGAAGAUCAUUUUCCCAGGAGCAAAAUGCUGGCAGGGAGAAUGUAUCAGGUUUGUGUUCCCUGUGGGUAUCUUUAGGAACAGCAUAGAAUGUGUGAGACUAGGUGGAAUGAAUGAGAACAGAUAUAGCAGUGGGAUUUGCUACUGCCUUGGAAGAUAUAGAUGACCACUGGAAGGGGUCUGCACUCAUGGGGGAGAUAGGGAACUGGGGAAGGCGAAAUGACUUGAUUACCACCAGGUCCCAGACCCCCUGACUCUUCAGAUUUCAGCAAACUUCAGGCAGGAUUUGAGCAGGGUUGAAUCUCAAAGAUUAAACGGAUA
rnacentral:sRNA from 1 species